CCUACGGGAGGCAGCAGUGGGGGAUAUUGCACAAUGGGGGGAACCCUGAUGCAGCGACGCCGCGUGGGUGAAGGAGUGCUUCGGCAUGUAAAGCCCUAUCGGCAGGGAAGAAGCAAGACGGUACCUGACUAAGAAGCCCCGGCUAACUACGUGCCAGCAGCCGCGGUAAUACGUAGGGGGCGAGCGUUAUCCGGAUUUAUUGGGGUUAAAGGGGCGGUAGGCGGAAUUUGAAGUAAGGGGUAAAACGCCGGGGCUAAACCCUGGCCUGCCCUUAAGACUGUGCGGCUAGAGUUCGGAGGGGGCAGGCGGAAUUAGUUGUGGAGCGGUGAAAUGCGUAGAUAUCAGGAAGAACACCGACGGCGAAGGCAGCCUACUGGACCGCGACUGACGUUGAAGCUCGAGAGCGUGGGGAGCGAACAGGAUUAGAUACCCGAGUAGUC
rnacentral:rRNA from 1 species